CUUUACUUAGAUUACAUAAUAUUUCCCCUCCAUAAAAUUCAGAUAAAUGACCAUAAACUUACUGGUAAUCCAAUCUCUGCUGUGCAGUAACUAUUCCCUUAAUGAGAUCAUCAUACUGGCUGAUAUUCGUUCAAUUCACAUACUUCUAAUAGAGGAGUUCUGGACACCUGUCAAUCGCUGCACUCAAUACAAUGCUUCUCAAAAGCAUUUCUAUGAUGAACGUGAAGACUUGCAGUUAUAGAAAAAAAUUCAAAAUGAAUUGCUUCUAGUGGCUGUCCGACAGCCACUAUAAACACCCUUAGUAAAAAUUGUAAACCGUUUUUCACAAACAGAAGUGCUUACAUUUGUCAGACUGUAUGUUUAGGAACAGCGUCUAUGCACCCAAACUACUACAAUAAGAUGCAGUGGUUGUGGUACUUAGAGACUCGCUUUUAAUGAAAACCAUUAAAAAUAAAUAGACAGAUGGAUAAAAGGUGCAACAUAUAGG